rnacentral:misc_RNA from 1 species
AGUUCUUUUUUCAACAGAUUUUACGUUCAUCGCAGUUCAUCGGCACAUCCAGUAGCGAAGAUGCAGUUGUUGAUCGAUUGUAAAUUUGAUAUGCGAAUUGUUUAGGGGAUUCUGUCGCUCUCUACAAACCGGAUUGGUGUAUAAACAGAACAAAGAUUUUAGAAUAGUGUCCGCCCAAUAAUGUGGAAAUUUAUUAUUUUUCUUUUCACAAUAAAUUCCUUCUACACUUUGCGAUGUGAGGCUCAGUCGUACGAUGACAAGCGUUGUAAAUGCAUUUGCCCAAGUAUUUCAUCCGUUAUCAAUACUACUCAGCCCUCUAAAGACCGAUUGAACUUCAUUUCCAAUGUACCACCAAACAAUUGUGAUUGCGAUGGCGUUAUAUUGCCUCGGGUUGGACAUCAAAUAGUGGGAAAGGAACAGAUUUUCUGUGCACGAUGUGACUGUAAAUAUGAGAAUCGGAAUACCACGAUCAUUAAGAUUGUAGUGAUCAUUGUAAUUUGGGUGAUAUCUCUCCUAGUAAUUUAUAUGUUAUUCUUGAUAUGUUUGGAGCCAUUACUGAACAAAAGGAUUCAUAGAACUGCUGGAAACGCAGGCUACCAAGAACAUAACAACGAGGAGGACGACGCCUCAGUGGCUCCUGGAAUGUCUCAUCCAAUGGGAGUAAGAGGCAAUGUUUUAAAUCGUGUCGGUCAUCAACAAGACAAAUGGAAGCGACAAGUUCGUGAGCAACGUCGCAAUAUCUACGAUCGGCACGCCAUGCUUAACUGAGCUGUACAGUCUUUUUAUUGGGAAAUUAACUCUACCAAAGACCGCAGCUCGACCGGACUGCAUCAUCAUCCGCCUUCGAACCGUAUCGAGUGGGUACGAUAUAAUCCCCGACGUCGUCGUAACAAUCUACACGAAUGAUUAUUUUAUCACAACACCAAUGAUAAUUAAAAAUAAUAGGCUGGA